GACAGAGGUGGCAAGCGUUGUUCGGAUUUACUGGGCGUAAAGCGCACGUAGGCGGGUCGUUAAGUCGGGGGUGAAAUCCUGGAGCUCAACUCCAGAACUGCCUUCGAUACUGGCGACCUAGAGUCCGGAAGAGGUGAGUGGAACUCCUAGUGUAGAGGUGGAAUUCGUAGAUAUUAGGAAGAACACCAGUGGCGAAGGCGGCUCACUGGUCCGGUACUGACGCUGAGGUGCGAAAGCGUGGGGAGCAAACAGG
rnacentral:rRNA from 1 species